GAUGAACGCUGGCGGCGUGCCUAAUACAUGCAAGUCGAGCGAACAGACGAGGAGCUUGCUCCUCUGACGUUAGCGGCGGACGGGUGAGUAACACGUGGAUAACCUACCUAUAAGACUGGGAUAACUUCGGGAAACCGGAGCUAAUACCGGAUAAUAUAUUGAACCGCAUGGUUCAAUAGUGAAAGACGGUUUUGCUGUCACUUAUAGAUGGAUCCGCGCUGCAUUAGCUAGUUGGUAAGGUAACGGCUUACCAAGGCAACGAUGCGUAGCCGACCUGAGAGGGUGAUCGGCCACACUGGAACUGAGACACGGUCCAGACUCCUACGGGAGGCAGCAGUAGGGAAUCUUCCGCAAUGGGCGAAAGCCUGACGGAGCAACGCCGCGUGAGUGAUGAAGGUCUUCGGAUCGUAAAACUCUGUUAUUAGGGAAGAACAAAUGUGUAAGUAACUGUGCACGUCUUGACGGUACCUAAUCAGAAAGCAACGGCUAACUACGUG
rnacentral:rRNA from 1 species